GAUGAACGCUGGCGGCGUGCCUAACACAUGCAAGUCGAGCGAUUUACUUCGGUAAAGAGCGGCGGACGGGUGUGUAACGCGUGGGUAACCUGCCCUGUACACACUGAUAACAUACCGAAAGGUAUGCUAAUACGAGAUAAUAUGCUUUUAUCGCUUUGUAGAAGUAUCAAAGCUUUUGCGGUACAGGAUGGACCCGCGUCUGAUUAGCUAGUUGGUGAGGUAACGGCUCACCAAGGCGACGAUCAGUAGCCGACCUGAGAGGGUGAUCGGCCACAUUGGAACUGAGACACGGUCCAAACUCCUACGGGAGGCAGCAGUGGGGAAUAUUGCACAAUGGGCGAAAGCCUGAUGCAGCAACGCCGCGUGAGCGAUGAAGGCCUUCGGGUCGUAAAGCUCUGUCCUCAAGGAAGAUAAUGACGGUACUUGAGGAGGAAGCCCCGGCUAACUACGUG
rnacentral:rRNA from 1 species